rnacentral:rRNA from 1 species
UCAGACGAUGCGUCAUGCAUAUCAAUAAGCGGAGGAAAAGAAACUAACAAGGAUUCCCCUAGUAACGGCGAGUGAAGCGGGAAGAGCUCAAAUUUGAAAUCUUAAAGGGUUUCCCUUUACGAAUUGUAGUUUAAAGAAGUGUUUUCUGUUGAGGUUUUGGUAAAAGUUCUUUGGAAUAGGACAUCAUAGAGGGUGAGAAUCCCGUAUUUGACCUUUACUUUCAACUUUGUGAUACACUUUCAAAGAGUCGGAUUGUUUGGGAAUGCAGUCCAAAAUGGGUGGUAAAUUUCAUCUAAAGCUAAAUAUUGGCGAGAGACCGAUAGCGAACAAGUACCGUGAGGGAAAGAUGAAAAGAACUUUGAAAAGAGAGUUAAACGGUACGUGAAAUUGUCAAAAGGGAAGCGUUUGACACCAGUGUUGUUUUUCUGAAAAUCAAUUAAAGAACUGUUUAUGCUAAGCUGUUUAGACUUUAUCAGCUAUCUGUUUAGUUUUGAGCUUUUCUUUAAUGCACUUUUCAGUUAACAAGUCAACAUCAAUUUCUUUUGCUGUAAAAAAGCUUGAGGAAGGUGGCUUGAGAUUCGUCUUAAGUGUUUAUAGCCUCUUGCCUAUGCAGUCGGAGAGAUUGAGGUCUGCAGCGUAGAUCCUUCGGGGCUAAAUGCAUUUGUGCUAAGUUAUAGCAUUUUAUAGACAACUUGUUGACUAUGAUUUGUCUUGUAGCUUACUCGCUUAUGUUAUUUUACCUACGCUUAGGAUGUUGACACACGCGCGUGCUCG